UUCUUAAAAUGCAAACCUACACGGCCAAACUUAUCUGAGAAUUCAAUUUCUCAAGCAAAUAAUAGUUUACAAGUUAUCAUUUCUCUUUUUAUUUUUAUUUUUUUUGCUUUUCUCAGAUCAAAGAGGUGGACCUCAGGUUCAAGGAACAAGAACAUGAACCAUCAGUUGUAGAAUUAAAUUUCUGCUAUACAAACAUGUUAUGGAUCGGGUUUUGUUAAUAUUACUAUUAUUUGUUUCGUCAGAUGGAGCUCAGGCUGAAGGAGCAAGAACUAAAGGCAACUCUUGAAUCAUGUGCUAUCUUCAAAUAUACUAUUAAGGAGCUGAAGCUAAAGUUGAAGGAACGAGAACUCCAACACUUAGUUGUGGAACUAGAGUUAUUUGGGGACUACAACAAACUCAGGUUCUACCCUCUUAAAACCAGGAUGAUAAUGAAGUCUUUGCCUUCGGUGCAGUAAAAAUUCCUCAAAAAAGGUUAUUAUGGCUACACUGAAGGGCUUAUUUCUCUUUUUCUGAAGUGUGGCAUAUCUGGCCGAGCACUAUAUCAUUUGUAGAUCUUUUUACAGAGUUAAGAUAAAGAUAUAAUGAAGAUUGAAGACCACUAUAGUAGAGAGAGAACCACAAUUGUGACAGUCGCAGAUAAACUUCCGCAGACUUGCACAGCCGAAAACACAGAAGAAAUGAGGUGAUGAAAACUCAGGAUGUUAAGUCAACUUCUAUGGUGUCAUCCAGUUCGUCACUGACGCGACUUCGUCUACCCAUUUUGAUCUAGACGUUUGAGAGGUUUCCGCUGAUCUGGAUGUUCGUCUUUGCUAAUUCUGCGCUAGGCUAUGUAUUGUACCUACUCAAUGUAUAGCUUGUUUUAGACUCAUGUCGAUUGGAACUCUGCUGAACUAAAAUAUAUUUUGAAUUGAUGUGCACGAUCAGAACAAA